GGGCUCACACAAGCGGUGGAUGAUGUGGCUCAAUUCGAGGCUACGCGAAGAACCUUAUCCUAGUCUUGACAUGCACGGAUUAACUCUGGGAAACCAGAGCCAGGCCUUCGGGUACAACGUGCACAGGUGCUGCAUGGCUGUCGUCAGCUCGUGUCGUGAGAUGUCGGGUUAAGUCCCUUAACGAGCGAAACCCUUGUCGCUAGUUGCCAGCGAGUAAUGUCGGGGACUCUAGCGAGACUGCCGGUGUUAAACCGGAGGAAGGCGGGGAUGACGUCAAGUCCUCAUGGCCUUUAUGACUAGGGCUGCACACGUCAUACAAUGGCACAUACAAAGCGAUGCAAACUCGUGAGAGCAAGCAAAUCGCAAAAAAUGUAGCCCCAGUUCGGAUUGCAGGCUGCAACUCGCCUGCAUGAAGCCGGAAUCGCUAGUAAUCGCGGGUCAGCAUACCGCGGUGAAU
rnacentral:rRNA from 1 species